UACGUAGGGUGCAAGCGUUGUCCGGAAUUAUUGGGCGUAAAGAGCUCGUAGGCGGUCUGUCGCGUCGGAUGUGAAAGCCCCGGGGCUUAACUCCGGGUCUGCAUUCGAUACGGGCAGGCUAGAGUUCGGUAGGGGAGAUCGGAAAUUCCUGGUGUAGCGGUGAAAUGCGCAGAUAUCAGGAGGAACACCGGUGGCGAAGGCGGAUCUCUGGGCCGAUACUGACGCUGAGGAGCGAAAGCGUGGGGAGCGAACAGG
rnacentral:rRNA from 1 species